UGCCCAAAGGAAGAGCAUGUAGAUGUCUUUAUCAGAGAACCUACAAUCCUAUCAAAAAAAUGUGUCUGUUUCACCUACAUUUAUUGAAGGUGUUUGUGUUACACAAAAGCCCACUGUUGAACCGAGCGUCCAGGCAACAAGCUGUCAACACCUUUUCUCUCUGGAGUUUAGUUUGUGACCUUGAAAAAACACAAACACACUUUUACCUCAUCGACAGCAUUAUGCAGAAGCAAUAGCCAUACAAGCACUUACCAUCACUUGAAGAAGCUCAGCCAUUGAACAGCACAAAAAAAAAGUGGGAGCGUGGAAUGUUUCCCAGAGUUAUUUCACCUGUGCAUCCUUGGUAGGACAACACUGCCUCAUCUAUGGCUAUUUAAAUGAAUCGACUGAAUGAUUGCACACUGGCCACACAUUCUGUGCGAUACAAAGAAGCACUUAAAGCACUAAAGUAGUGGGUUCACCUGGUUUUUAUAAAAGUUAUAAUAAAGUUGAUAUAUGCCAAUUUAUUUCCCCUCUGCCAUAGAGGCGAAUGAAAAGCAUUUUUUUUUUUUUUUUUUUUUUUUUAGCUGUUUGAUUGAUGUUUCUUUGGUGAGUUCUAAUGGGACUUUGUUUUUUUCUUACAGUGGUUGGUAAUGAAUGACCUUGAAAGCUUGUGCACACACUCACACACACACACGCACACACACAAAUACACACACCUCUUGAUUCUUGAUUCUACUACACCCCCUAGCAAAACCCAUAGGAAAUUAGAAGCCUUGUGUCAGUUUUUUUAGUGCUUUUUUUUCUCUCCUCUCUCCUCCACCCACCCACACACACACUCACAUGCACACACACACACACACACACACACACACACACACACACACACACACACUCUCCCUCUUUCUCUACCCCCCCCCACCCACACACUCACACACACACUCUCCCUGUUACUCUACCAUCCACUUACCCACCCACACACACACACACACACACACACACACACACACACACACACACACACUCCCUCACUCUCUCCAGAUCUUGCCGCACGGCUUUCACUCCCUCCUUCUGUGGCUUGCCGCUAAGAAUUUGAUACAGGCGCGGGUGCUGAGGCCGGGAGGCGACGGAAAAACCAACUCAUUUUCCUGGGGAUGAGGAUCAGAGAGCGAAGAAGGCGAAGGAAGCUGUGCUCGAGAGCGAACAGCCGAGGCUUGCGUGACAACCCCCCACGUAUACAAAGAAAUCCCACUCAAGCUCCUCUACUUCUUUCUCUCAAGCAAGACCCCCCAUCUCCCCACCCCACCAACAGCCUCAAGGGCUGAGGAAGAUCAUACCUCUCCACGUCCCCAUGGACGGGGCCCGAGGUCCCACGGGUCCCCGAGAAUAGUGAGCCGUGCCUGGGUCUAUCAGCUCGAUCAAAGGGGCCUGGUGCUGGAGAU
rnacentral:lncRNA from 1 species